AGGUACAACGGACACCACUCGGAUGAUGGGUGCGAUAAAAUCUCAGGCUUUUGUAAUUCAUCCAUGAAACCAAAAACCACUUGUACCCCAAAAGCUAUUGAAAUUCAAAAUUUUUUAAAAAAUUAAAAUAAAGGAUGCCACGUGGUUAGCCAUAGGAGUUUAUUUCUCAACUCUGAUGAAAUGCCACAAGCAUCGCCUUUUCCCAAGUCUCCCUUCUGUGACAUGGCAUUUGAGGCAGCAUCCCAGGGCAGGGGUGGUGCCCAACGUAUUACUAAGCUGCAUUAUUUGGUAAGUCAGAGGUGGAUCGCUUCCAAACAAGCUUACCCUUUUCCAUAAAGAUGAAAACACCACCACCAAAAAAGAAAGAGAUUUUUUUGAGGCAACAACCCCCGGCUGCAGGCUGAGGGAGCUGUCAGCAUCGUUCAUCCUGAUGUUCCCUGGGCUGGGGGGAGGAACUGGCAGCUGUUCGCCAGUGAUUCCGUUUUUUUCGUUGUGUGUUUCGUAAGUGGUUUUUAACCAGGCGCCCUUAAAAUGUAUUAUUGUGAGAAAAUAAACCAAGAAACAAGGGGUAGUAAUUUAGUACUAGGAAGUUAAUUCUGGAGACCUCCGACCUUUCAGCAGUCAUGUGGCUAUUGAUUUUCAAUACCGUGAGGUGGCGGCCACCCUAGGCGUGGGGUUCAGUGGAUUCCAAACAGUUUCUCCCUUAUCAGUUGAGUCCCUGAGUACUUGAGCAUUAAGACAACAAAUGUCCGGAGUUAACGGCGUGUCACAUGGCAGCUGGGUGGACGUGCCAAUUUUCUAAUGAAGUUGGGUUGUUGGCAAACACACCAGUCAUCGUAUAUUGAAGGAGGUCUUCUUUUGUGUAUUUCCAGCACUCUUGAGUGCUUCAAAAGAUACCAGUUACAUCAUUGUCUGAGGGCACCAAGGGAGAAACAUCCAUCCCCUGCCAAGACAAACACGAGCAAAAGCAGAGUUAAAACCAAAAUGGGGCUGGGUUUUCUUGGAGGUGUUGGAAAUGUUUUUUUCCAGUUGUGCUCAAUGUGGGGAUAUUCGGAAGGAAAGCAGGGGCUGCUAAGCCCUUGUUUCUCUGCAACAAGAGGCACCGGGGUCAUUCCUUGCUCCCAACUUAGCUUGCACUCUGUGCGGGAGAAUCAGCCUCAUUUUUCUUCAUAUUGAAGAAAAACAGUCAGUGCAUUUUUGGGUCCAAGCCACUGUGUAGCGGAGGGAUGACACAGGCUCUCAGAUAAGCUGACCACAUCUACACCUCAGCAAACUCUGGGAGAUCCUCACUCUCCCUACCCUCUUCCCCCGCUCCCCACCAAUAAUAAAUUAGGGCUGCCAUCUUGUAUUGAUUAUUGAAAAUGUUAUGUCCACGGGAAGAAAAUGCCAUUGCUUUAAAUAUCAACAUUAUAAGAGAUUUAAAAGUUUUGUUUUGUUUUGUUUUACAGAAAUGUGUGUGUGAAAAAUUUUUAAGCAGUUGAAAAGAGCGGGGGUGUGGUGGGAAGAAUUAUUAAACAACAACAAAAAAAAUCAAUCCUCGGUUUGGCCUGGCCAGAUGAGCGUUUCUCGGCUCAGGUUACCACUGGCAUUGGCCCCGCUGGUGGCUCUGUUCCUGCUUCAUUCGGGUUGCUCUUCUCCAGCCUCCCACCGUCCCCUUGUCACGGCUCUCCCAGCACCUCAUCAGCACCUUUCCAGCCUCUACCUGAUGCCCACUUCGAAAACCAGGCCAAAGUUCAGGUCUCGGAAGAAACCAUCACACCGAGGUCAUUUCUGAGCACAGCGUGGAAGCUCCUAUGUUUGCAGUAGGAACUAGGUACUGCGACAUUCAAGAACCGUAGGCAUCCAGCCCCAUACAAUUCACAAGGUGAACCUACCUGAAUCCUGAUCUGGAGUUCAGCAGGCUCCCUCUGACCUCCUCCUAGCCACUAUCACCCUACUUGGGUAAGUUCAACUCUGCCUUUUCACACCAUUGAUGAGUU